GUGGAAAUGCGCACGGAAGCAUACUUCAAACCGUCAAUCAUCAAUUCUCGCUAGUGUGUAAGAAGAAGGAAAAGCAAAAGAAAAAGUUCUGAAGUGACGUGUUAAAAAGGAAGUCGGCGGUGGUGCCGGAUCCCGUGCAAGAGAGCGGUCGUCUCGCCUCUCGGGCCGGCAAAGGAAGUGCAAGUGGCCCCUGGAGAAAUCCGCUAGAAAGCCUUCAGGAGGUAUUCGCGCCAGAUUGAAGGAGACGACAUCGAUCACAGCCGCUGGUUGUUCCUCCGGGCUUGGAAACCGAAUAUUAUUCAGAUCGGGACGCAGCAAGCCGUGACAGAAACACAUCAAAAGGAAAAAUAUCCCCAAUAUAGGGGUUUUUGUUUCUUGCCUCUUCUUCCCAGGAACUGCGCACCACGGCACCGAUCCACGUGCAGAAGACCACCGUGCUCACAUUUGUUGCCUUCCCUCGGUCAGGCAAAUCGACCGUGGAAGAAAAAAUCGCCAGCGAAGCGGUUUGCACGUG